rnacentral:misc_RNA from 1 species
AACGCACAUUGCGCCCCUUGGUAUUCCGAGGGGCAUGCCUGUUCGAGCGUCAUUUCAAACCCUCAAGCUUCUGCUUGGUGUUGGGCUCUCGUCCGUCACAGGACGUGCCCGAAACUCGUAGGCGGUGGCGCCCAGCUCCUCAGCGUAGUUAUACAUUCCGCUUCGGAUCGUUGGGUGUUGCUCGCCUCACAACCACUAUUUUUCUAUGGUUUGACCUCGGAUCAGGUAGGGAUACCCGCUGAACUUAA